GACGAACGCUGGCGGCGUGCCUAAUACAUGCAAGUCGAACGCAGUGGGGACGGGUGAGUAACACGUGGGUAACCUCCCAUCAGAGGGGAUAACACUUGGAAACAGGUGCUAAACCGAUACUGAUGGAUGGACCCGCGGUGAAUUGGCUAGUUGGUGAGGUAAAGGCGCACCAAGGCCACGAUGCAUAGCCGACAGGCGAGGGUGGGUGGCCGCACUGGGACUGAGACACGGCCCAGACGCAUUGGGGAGGCAGCAGUAGGGAAUCUUCGGCAAUGAACGAAAGUCUGACCGAGCAACGCCACGUGAGUGAAGAAGGUUUUCGGAUCGUAAAACUCUGUUGUUAGAGAAGCGGUAUCUAACCAGAAAGCCACGGCUAACUACGUGCCAGCAGCCGCGGUAAUAC
rnacentral:rRNA from 1 species